rnacentral:rRNA from 1 species
GAAAAGAAACCAACAGGGAUUGCCCUAGUAACGGCGAGUGAAGCGGCAACAGCUCAAAUUUGAAAUCUGGCUUCGGCCCGAGUUGUAAUUUGCAGAGGAUGUUUUUGGCGCGGUGCCUUCCGAGUUCCCUGGAACGGGACGCCACAGAGGGUGAGAGCCCCGUAUGGUUGGACACUAAGCCUGUGUAAAACUCCUUCGACGAGUCGAGUAGUUUGGGAAUGCUGCUCUAAAUGGGAGGUAAAUCUCUUCUAAAGCUAAAUACCGGCCAGAGACCGAUAGCGCACAAGUAGAGUGAUCGAAAGAUGAAAAGCACCUUGAAAAGGGGGUUAAACAGUACGUGAAAUUGUUGAAAGGGAAGCGCUUAUGACCAGACUUGUGCCGUGCGGCUCAUCCGGGGUUCUCCCCGGUGCACUCCGUACGGCUCAGGCCAGCAUCGGUUCUCGUUGGGGGAUAAGAACUGUAGGAACGUGGCCCCUUUCGGGGGGUGUUAUAGCCUAUAGUACGAUACCCUGGCGGGGACCGAGGACCGCGCUUCGGCAAGGAUGCUGGCGUAAUGGUCAUCAGCGACCCGUCUU